UACGGAGGAUGCGAGCGUUAUCCGGAUUUAUUGGGUUUAAAGGGUGCGCAGGCGGAUUUUUAAGUCAGCGGUCAAAUCGUGGGGCUCAACCCCAUCCAGCCGUUGAAACUGGGGAUCUAGAGUGUGCGAGAGGUAUGCGGAAUGCGUGGUGUAGCGGUGAAAUGCAUAGAUAUCACGCAGAACCCCGAUUGCGAAGGCAGCAUACCGGUGCACAACUGACGCUCAGGCACGAAAGCGUGGGUAUCAAACAGG
rnacentral:rRNA from 1 species